GCUGCAAGCGCGUUCGCUUCAGAUCAGCCCUGCCGUCUUCGGCAGUGUCGUUCCGGCCUUGGGUUCUUGGAAUGCCAGAAGUGAUCAUUCCAGAAGAGAUUGCCGUUGCUCCUAACAGUGAAGAACUUGCUAUUCUGCAGUCGUAAAACGUCACAUAAUUCACAGAAUUACAAAAUCACAGCAUCUUUGCGGUUGGAAGGAACAGCUGGAGAUCAUCUGGUCCAACAGCCCUGCUCAAGUAGAAUCACCUGGAUCAGGUUGCCCAGGACUGUGUCCUGUUGGGUUUUGAGUAUCUCCAAGGAUGGAGACUCCACAACCUCUCUGGGCAAUCUGUUCCAGCGCAAUUCUUCAUAGUUACCUUGUCUGGGAUCUGUCA
rnacentral:lncRNA from 1 species